AAGUCGUAACAAGGUUUCCGUAGGUGAACCUGCGGAAGGAUCAUUAACACGUAUCCACGUCACCUGUUGACAUACACCAAACCAAUGUUUAUAUAGUAUUGGGAACUGAGACACGUUCGCAAGAUCGCGGAUCGGAACCUGGUACUCGUGCACCAUAUUUUUUUCCUUCCCCCUUUUGAUAACGCCUUGACUCAAUUGUAGUAUAUUUCAUCUUCGUGAUGGUAUAGUACACAUUUGCUUCGUAUGUUCACUCAUACGUGUCAAAUGACCUAUUCAAUAUGGACUGAUGCAAGCAUCUAAUGUAUCGAACGCUUCGUUCCUUUUUGUCAUGAAAAGGUGAACAGGUGGGCGGCUACAUUGGUAUGUGAUGACACUUAUAUAGUAAAAUAUAUAUGAUAUAAUCACAACUCUUAGCAAUGGAUACCUAGGUUCUC
rnacentral:misc_RNA from 1 species